rnacentral:rRNA from 1 species
ACAGCGAAACUGCGGACGGCUCAUUAAAUCAGUUAUCGUUUAUUUGAUAGCACCUACUACAUGGAUAACUGUGGUAAUUCUAGAGCUAAUACAUGCUAAAAAUCCCGACUUCGGAAGGGAUGUAUUUAUUAGAUUAAAAACCAAUGCCCUUCGGGGCUCUCUGGUGAUUCAUAAUAACUGCUCGAAUCGCACGGCCUUGCGCCGGCGAUGGCUCAUUCAAAUUUCUGCCCUAUCAACUUUCGACGGCUGGGUCUUGGCCAGCCAUGGUGACAACGGGUAACGGAGGGUUAGGGCUCGACCCCGGAGAAGGAGCCUGAGAGACGGCUACUACAUCCAAGGAAGGCAGCAGGCGCGCAAAUUACCCAAUCCCAAUUCGGGGAGGUAGUGACAAUAAAUACUGAUACAGGGCUCUUUUGGGUCUUGUAAUCGGAAUGAGAACAAUUUAAAUCCCUUAACGAGGAACAAUUGGAGGGCAAGUCUGGUGCCAGCAGCCGCGGUAAUUCCAGCUCCAAUAGCGUAUAUUAAAGUUGUUGCAGUUAAAAAGCUCGUAGUUGAACCUUGGGCCUGGCUGGCCGGUCCGCCUCACCGCGUGCACUGGUCCGGCCGGGCCUUUCCCUCUGGGGAGCCGCAUGCCCUUCACUGGGCGUGUCGGGGAACCAGGACUUUUACUGUGAAAAAAUUAGAGUGUUCAAAGCAGGCCUAUGCUCGAAUACAUUAGCAUGGAAUAAUAGAAUAGGACGUGUGGUUCUAUUUUGUUGGUUUCUAGGACCGCCGUAAUGAUUAAUAGGGACAGUCGGGGGCGUCAGUAUUCAAUUGUCAGAGGUGAAAUUCUUGGAUUUAUUGAAGACUAACUGCUGCGAAAGCGUUCGCCAAGGAUGUUUUCAUUAAUCAGGAACGAAAGUUAGGGGAUCGAAGACGAUCAGAUACCGUCGUAGUCUUAACCAUAAACUAUGCCGACUCGGGAUCGGGCGAUGUUAUUUUUUGACUCGCUCGGCACCGUAUACGAAAGUAAAGUUUCUGGGU